rnacentral:rRNA from 1 species
GACGAACGCUGGCGGCGUGCUUAACACAUGCAAGUCGAACGAAGAGCGAUGGAAGCUUGCUUCUAUCAAUCUUAGUGGCGAACGGGUGAGUAACGCGUAAUCAACCUGCCCUUCAGAGGGGGACAACAGUUGGAAACGACUGCUAAUACCGCAUACGUUCUAAUCUCGGCAUCGAGGAUAGAUGAAAGGUGGCCUCUACAUGUAAGCUAUCAUUGAAGGAGGGGAUUGCGUCUGAUUAGUUAGUUGUAGGGGUAACGGCCCACCAAGGCGAUGAUCAGUAGCCGGUCUGAGAUGAUGAGCGGCCACAUUGGGACUGAGACACGGCCCAGUCGCCUACGGGAGGCAGCAGGGGGGAAUCUUCCGCAAUGGGCGGAAGUCUGACGGAGCAACGCCGCGGGAGUGAUGACGGCCUUCGGGUUGGAAAGCUCUGUUAAUCGGGACGAAAGGCCUUCUUGCGAAUAGUGAGAAGGAGUGACGGUACCGGAAUAGAAAGCCACGGCUAACUACGUG